rnacentral:sRNA from 1 species
GUUAAGGCGGGCGGUGGUGAGGUUGGGAGCCGAUAGGCGGUCGCCCAAUCCAUCGCCUGAGA